AACGUGAAGCCCCAGCAGGGGAUUACAACAUACAUUUAAGCUGUUGACACACAUAUCAACGAAGGUCAAGCAGGCUUGACGUUAUCUCAGCCGAUAGCGAUUAAACCUAUCAGAGCUCUAGAGCUAUUCGAGGAUUUCAUGCUCGAUUGCUCAUAUUUUCCCAGCGGAUCCCCGGUGGGAGUCACAACGCAAUGCUCCGUUGAUCUACAUGAGAACGGAGGUCAAGCAACCUUGACAAUCUACCCAUAGAGUAUCAGCCAUUGAUUCACUCAUCAGCGAAGGUCAAGCAGCCUUGACAGUAUAUCCCACAGGAUUUUUCAGGCGUUGAUUCAAAUGUCAGUGAAGUACACGUCAACGAAGGUCAGACUUCCCUGACAGCAUUCGAUGUUGGCAGUAAAUCCAACAGAAUGUUGACAUAUUCUGGCUAUACUAACCAGGAAAGGUCAAUGUUAUAAAAGAGGAUAGAUGAUGGAAUAUGUUAUACACAUCCUCAAACAGUCCCAGCUUUAUCCCCACAGAUCUCUUACACAUAAGAGAUACAUCUUUAGGAUCAAGUCAUAAUCGAAGACAAAGGGAUUUGGUGAUAACUCCAACAUCAACAUCGUAACAGAUUCGGAUUAUACAUCAAAUCUGGUCAUCAUUGUCAAUCCCUAGUUGAAGCAACAGGGAGCCAUCAAUCAUCCCCAACAUGUUAGGCUACAACCCCGUACACAUUCAUCAUACAGUUGCAUCAUGUUGCUACCCAUAGUACCAUGUUUGUCUUGUUGCAUUUCAAGUGUCUAGGAUUCUUUAUCUUAUCCAUGCAUCGCCAUGCAUGAGUAUGAUAAAGAGGGGCAUCUGUAGACACUCGAAAUUUUCUGUAUACCUAUCACUAACAUUGCAGGAGGACAGAUUUGUCUUUUAAGAGGGAACCCUAAAAGACAAU
rnacentral:lncRNA from 1 species